rnacentral:lncRNA from 1 species
GGAAAAGAGAAGAGAAAAUGCGCCACGCAAAUGCCCCCUUUGCCGCCUUUUUCUCCCGUCCUCUUUUUUUGGCGGCCUCUCCUCGCCCGGCUCGCCGCCCGCCCUUUUUUUGGGCCCUCGGCUUUUGAUCGUCGCCAACUUUUUUGUUCUCGUCAAGAUCUAGGGCCUGGGCCUUGCCCAUUUCUUUUGUCCUCCUCGCCUCGCCGACCCCCCUUUCCAAAACUCUCAUUGGUCCCCGCCCUCUUUCGCCAAAAAAAUGUCCCCUUUAUCAAAAACACAACAAAAAAUUGGCCGAUAAAAAAGAGAGAGGCGCCCUUUUGCCCGCGCCACUUUGCCCCCUUGCCCUUGGCAGGUAUGAGGUGCCCAAGGCGACCCAUGCAAGGCCCUCGGUAAUGACCACGGCGACAACAUCAAUGACAGCGACAUUUUUUUUGGAAAAAAAGGCCACCAACCUCGCCGCCCUCCUGUCUUGACGACGGUCACGACCACGCGCACCCGCACAGCCGCCAGACUCGCCGGCCGAGCCCCGUCAACGAGCCUCCAAGCCCCGCCCCUAUCGCACCUCGACCCAUCACAACAUCUUGCACGAAACCUAUACAAACUGGUCGCCCUCCCACGAGGGCCUCCCGACGCCAUGACAGACCGACUGACGCACUGACGCCAAAGCACCCAAAGAAAAAAAAGAAACGCCUGCCGACCGCCACGACGGGAGCAAGGAUGGCGACGGGCGCCAAAAGAGACGAAAAAAGAAAAUCCCCAUUUGUUCUCGCCCUUUUUCAUCCCCCUUUUUCAAAAAAACACCCAAAAUUUUUUAAAGACCGCUCCGCGCCGACCCACCGGCCCCUUUUUCCCCCAAAAAAUCUGUCUGUCUGCCGCCUCGUCCGCUUCCUCUUGUUGUCACUAUCGGUGUCGCCUUGGCCCUGCGCGCGUCCUUGCGACCGUCUGCCUGUCCGUCGGCCCGUCGUCGUUUCUGUCGCGUCGCAAGACGACACCGCUGCCGUCGGCCGUCGGCCGCGACCACAAUGAUAGCAGGAGCGUCAUCGCGCCCGGUCCUGUCGGUUUGAUAACGCGCGCCGCCUGCCCACUCAGUUUGCGCGCCCGCCACACGUCGCCGCUCUGGCGCUCCCAUCAUCGUUGCCGUCAUUGUCGCUGUCGCCGUCGUCGCCUUUUUUCCCCUCUCUUGGAUCUUGGGCGCUCUCGACGUUCCUUUUUUCUUUUUUUUUUGGUUUUCCUCUCUCUUUUCCUCUGCUUCUCCAAAAGGUCGCCCUAAAAAAGGUCGGCCUCCAUUUGCCGUCGCCGGCGUCGGUGCCCUCAGCCGCCGGUUCGAAUCCCGUCAGGGCCAAUCGAUCCCCCAGGCCCCUACUCUCCCGACGCCAGAAAACACAAAAUCCGCAAAAAACAAACCCCUCUGUUGUACUCGCCUCUCUCCGUGCUCCUUGUUGUCGUCGUCGCCGUCGUCGUCGAAAAAGAAAGAAAAUGCGAAAUCAUCA